rnacentral:rRNA from 1 species
UACACUCCUGCGGGAGGCAGCAGUGGGGAAUUUUGGACAAUGGGCGAAAGCCUGAUCCAGCAAUGCCGCGUGAGUGAAGAAGGCCUUCGGGUUGUAAAGCUCUUUUGUCAGGGAAGAAACGGUGAGAGCUAAUAUCUUUUGCUAAUGACGGUACCUGAAGAAUAAGCACCGGCUAACUACGUGCCAGCAGCCGCGGUAAUACGUAGGGUGCAAGCGUUAAUCGGAAUUACUGGGCGUAAAGCGUGCGCAGGCGGUUUUGUAAGUCUGAUGUGAAAUCCCCGGGCUCAACCUGGGAAUUGCAUUGGAGACUGCAAGGCUAGAAUCUGGCAGAGGGGGGUAGAAUUCCACGUGUAGCAGUGAAAUGCGUAGAUAUGUGGAGGAACACCGAUGGCGAAGGCAGCCCCCUGGGUCAAGAUUGACGCUCAUGCACGAAAGCGUGGGGAGCAAACAGGAUUAGAAACCCUGGUAGUCCCA